UUUACCCGCUGAAUUUAAGCAUAUUAAUAAGCGGAGGAAAAGAAACUAACAAGGAUUCCCCUAGUAACGGCGAGUGAAGCGGGAAGAGCUCAAGCUUAAAAUCUCCGUGCAAGUUUUGCGCGGCGAAUUGUAGUCUAUAGAGGCGUGAUCAGUGUGGGCGCUUGGGGCAAGUUCCUUGGAAGAGGAUACCCGCUGGAAUUAAGCAUAUCAAUAAGCGGAGGAAAAGAAACUAACCAGGAUGCCCUUAGUAACGGCGAGCGAACCGGGCGAAGCCCAACUUGAAAAUCUCCAGCCUCCGGCUGGCGAAUUGUAGUCUAGAGAAGCGCUCUCUGCCCCAGCCUGGCCCCAAGUCCCCUGGAAAGGGGCGUCAUAGAGGGUGAGAACCCCGUUGGGACCGGCGCCUGGGUCUCCACGAGACGCUUUCGAAGAGUCGGGUUGUUUGGGAAUGCAGCCCAAAGCAGGUGGUAAAUCCCAUCUAAGGCUAAAUACGGACGGGAGACCGAUAGCGAACAAGUACCGCGAGGGAAAGAUGAAAAGAACUUUGAAAAGAGAGUUAAAAAGUACUUGAAAUUGUUGAGAGGGAAGCGAUUGGAUCCCACGGGUGCGCCUAGGCACACGCCCGCCUCACGGUUGGUUGAAUGGGCUAGGCGCUGGUCAGCAUGGGUUGUCCGGGCGGGACAAAACCGGGGGUUGUUACUCCGGUUAUGCCGCCCGGGCGACCGAGGUACGAAGGGCGCUCUUUGAGUCCUUCUGGGAAACUGCG
rnacentral:rRNA from 1 species